AUUGAACGCUGGCGGCAGGCCUAACACAUGCAAGUCGAACGAGUGGCGGACGGGUGAGUAAUGUCUGGGACAAUGCCUGAUGGAGGGGGAUAACUACUGGAAACGGUAGAUAAUAACGCAUACCAUCCACUGUGCCCAGAUGGGAUUGCCUAGUUGGUGGUUAAAGGCUAACCAAGGCGACGAUCCCUAGCUGGUCUGGGAGGAUGACCAGCAACACUGGAACUUGGACACGGUCCAGACUCCUACGGGAGGCAGCAGUGGGGAAUAUUGCACAAUGGGCGCAAGCCUGAUGCAGCCAUGCCGCGUGUAUGAAGAAGGCCUUCGGGUUGUAAAGUACUUUCAGCGGGGAGGCGUUACCCGCAGAAGAAGCACCGGCUAACUCCGUGCCAGCAGCCGCGGUAAUUC
rnacentral:rRNA from 1 species